rnacentral:rRNA from 1 species
UACGUAGGGUGCAAGCGUUGUCCGGAAUUAUUGGGCGUAAAGAGCUCGUAGGCGGUCUGUCGCGUCUGCUGUGAAAAUCCAGGGCUCAACCCUGGACCUGCAGUGGGUACGGGCAGACUAGAGUGCGGUAGGGGAGAUCGGAAUUCCUGGUGUAGCGGUGAAAUGCGCAGAUAUCAGGAGGAACACCGGUGGCGAAGGCGGAUCUCUGGGCCGGAACUGACGCUGAGGAGCGAAAGCGUGGGGAGCAAACAGG